rnacentral:rRNA from 1 species
UACGUAGGGCGCAAGCGUUAUCCGGAAUUAUUGGGCGUAAAGAGCUCGUAGGCGGUGUGUCGCGUCGGCCGUGAAAACCUGCAGCUUAACUGUGGGCUUGCGGUCGAUACGGGCAUCACUGGAGUUCGGCAGGGGAGACUGGAAUUCCUGGUGUAGCGGUGAAAUGCGCAGAUAUCAGGAGGAACACCGGUGGCGAAGGCGGGUCUCUGGGCCGAUACUGACGCUGAGAAGCGAAAGCAUGGGGAGCGAACAGG